UGUGUGAAUUCUAGAGAGAGAAAGACUGAGCUCGGACAGAGCCUAUAAUGUGAGGGGUGACUGAGGAGAGCAGCCCGCGAAGCACCCGAAUUAAGGUUAGUUCCACUAGGCCGAUUCCAAGGAAUCAAAGCUGUACUGGAUGACAAGAAACGCAGGUCCCAAGCGCUUGAGGGCUACAGGUGGGAGGACUGAGAUCCACAAGUAAAGUCUCUGUGUCCAAAGACACCUCCCCCAACCGCGCUACAUAACCGUGCCACCCCAAAUUCAUAUGGUCCCUAAAAAAAAAAAAAAGCCUCCUUGGUUCUUCCCAAACCGCCUAAGCAGAAACAAACAUAUCAUGUAGUAAAAGAGAAUGUCCCAAAUAAACUAUUUCGACUAAAAGAGAAAAUUCGAUUGGUCGCAAGUCCCUUCUCUUCACUCUCACCACCACCCACAAAUUAACCACUACAAUGAGGUUUGGCGAAUAGGGGACUGAGAGUGCGGUUGAUCUAAGUUUGUUUCCGAUCUUAAACUUUUAGUACCGAUGUACCCACUUUCCCGGGAGCCCGGGAUUGCUAGUUUUGUCGCUAGUGGGGAAAUUUGAUGUCUAAAAUAGCUAGAGGCUAAUUCCACUUAUCUAAUUAGCUCUCUCGCUCUCUCUCUCUCUCCCCCCACCCCCCAAACCCACCUCAACCCCCAGCUCCGAUCCUCCUCUGAUUCUGCCUGUCUCAAUCUCUCAUCUGGUUUUGAAGUUCACGUCCGCCACUCGCUUUGUUAUUUCAAUUCGGACUAGUGGAGAACACGGAAAGUCAACCAAUGGUGAAAGCUAACUCUGCCCAGGUGUCCUUCCCACCCUAUCCAUCCACUUCCCCAAACUCAAUCCUCUACCCCAGGUUGUGCUUGUGCCCAGAGCCUGUUUUUCUCCUGUCUUUGACAACCCUGAUCUUCUCUGGGUUUGAUUUAUUGAGUGCUGUCGUUUCUCUGCUCUUUACUUUCACAAUCACACAUUCAAACUCGAUAAAGUUCAAGACCCUGAAUGCUUCCAGCUCUCCCAGAUUUACAGUCAUGCUGCCUCCCAGAGCAGCUCUGAAGCUGAUUGAAUCCUCAUGCACGCAAGAAGUUGGCAAGAAUCAUCAAAAAAGCCAGAAGAGAUGAUGCUUUCCCCAUUAUCAACUGGAGUACACAGCCAGGAUCUGCAUAGAAGUGUUUUGUUUUUCUUUUUUAAUCUAGGAUUCUUAUUCAUUCUAUGAUACUAUGCUGACUCCCAGCUCUUAAAUAAUAUUUUUAUUGAUAUCUUUUAUUUUUACAUCAUCCACAUUUCAUAAAGUACUCCCACUCUCUUCCUCCUCUCAGAAGGGGUUCUCUUAUAACAAAGAAUGAAAAAGAAAGGGGGAAAAAAACAGUUGAGCAAAUCUAACCCAAACAUAAAAAAAAAAAAAAAAAAAAAAAAAAACCAACCUUUGGGCCACUUUCAGUUCUUGCUCUUAUUCUCCUUAUCUACAUUGCUGGAAUCAGUGUGUGUGUGUGUAUGUAUGUGUAUAUAUCAUUUCUUAUGGAAUAGUAAUAUUACAUUUUUGUACCACAAUUUAUUUAAAUGUUCCCCAAUUGCUAUUCGUGUAUUUUGCUACUCUGAAAAAUUAUGUCCUUUUAAUAAUGAAAUUUAUUAAUCUAUUACUGUGCAUGCAAAAUGAUACUUUUAAAACAUAGGAUAUAUAAAUGGAGUGGCAAAAGUCAAUGAUUGGGGAAGAAAUAAUUGUAUCCCUCCUGUGUAUACUUGUGGGAGAUGAAAGCCUCUUCAGAUAACCAAAUGGACCACUAUUUCCAUUCAUAUCCAGGAUGUUCCUGAAGAGAACAGGCCACAAAACAAUCAGUUGCAUAAGAUGAUACAAAGUUGUCAUGUUUCAUUGAAGGCUUUUUGAUGACAUUAGAAACCAAGUGAAGCUCAAGAGGUUUUUAUGUAUUCUAGAAGAGGCUAAAAGUUAGCAUCCUUCCAUAGCUUAGUCAUGUUUUAUUUUUAGCAGCAUUAAAACACAUGAUGAUAGAAAAUCUCAUCCAAUAAAUUUAGCUGUCAUUAUUUUAUUUAUGUGUUUAAUUUUUAUUCUAAUACUCACAAGCAUCAGUGGGGCUUAUCUAAUAAAGUACUUUUGUUCUUAAUGAGAUUAUAAUAAUACACUAUUGAUACUACAUUCAUAUUUUAUGCAAAGAUGAUGUCCCUUCCUAAGAACUAUUCCAUUCAAAAAGUCAUAGACAAAGGCCAGAUGAUAUAAGACAAGACUUCCCUCAGCCUGAGUUCCCUCCCUGCAGUAGAGGGAAGAAAUAUGUUCAAUUAUACCUGACACAUGCCAAAGCAUAAAGUAAUAUAAAAUUUCCCGCCCUGAACAAAAAAGCCAGUAAAAAGCCCCCUUCUCCUAUACUGAUCUCACCAUGUGGGGGAGAAUCUAAGGAAUCUAAAUCUAAAUGUCAACACAGAGAUGUCAUUUUUCUAUUUGGUUGUCAAGAUUUCUUGGCUGAGAGAGAAGACAGGAUGGUUUCUUGAAAUAAUCCAAGAUAUAGUUCAUUUUAUCUAUAGGAGUGUGGUAAGAAUUAAAUUAUCGUUAAAUCGUCUUCAAAAACAAAAACAAAAAAAAAAAAAACACAAAAAGCAUUUUAUCCUUUAAAAACUGAGUCCCAAUGAAGGGGGGGAAAACAGCUCUAAUGUCCUUAGCAUCUAUCCUCCUGUCUAUGAUGCUGAUUUUCUGACCCAGAUAGAUAAAGCUGUAGAAUCAUGGCAUCAGUAUCCUAAAUAAGAAACAACCAUAAUUUUCCAUUAGCAUAAUAACCCUUUCCUCUGAAAAUUGACUCUGAUGUCAACUUUUAUUUUUGUUGACCUUUGUUCCAUUUACCAUAUAUCUACUCUUCUUGAUCCCCUAAAGCUAUAUCCUUAGUGAAGGCAUCUCUAAUCUAAAGAUACAUAUUAUAGUAGAAAAGGUGUUAGAUUUGGGGAGCUCAAAUCUAUCCUGGUUCUGCCAUUUGCAAGUCAUUAAUCUUAUUGGGCCUCAGUUUUCCCAUCUGAGGUAAAAUAAAAAGGUUAGUUGAGGUUCCUUCCAGCUUUAUAUCUGUGAUCCUGUGAAGCAGGAGGGGCUAAAUGAUUCUUGUUGAAUUGUACAUAUGUGCCAACCUCAAAUAAAUCCACUGUUUACUGGGUCAGCUCA